AAAAUUAAAUAUAGGUCCUAUGUUAAAUGAUAUUUAUUUUACUCAGUCCUUUUUUUAUCUUUCGGUGUUGGUGCUCUUGGACAAAUAUUUGAAUUGAUCUCGGCUUGCGUCUUGCCGGGACUAGUUCAAACCGGAAAUAUAAGAGAGAGCUUAUAGGCAGGUCAUCGCCCUUUAUCCCUCUUCGUCCUGCUCCCCCUCCUCCGCCAGCGACGGCGACGGAGUCGGUGUCGGUGCUUUCCGCCGCUCUACCCAAAUCCAAAGGCCUGGAACCCGACGAGAAGAGACCAGGAUGUCUCCGCGCCGCCGUGCGGCAUCCCCUCCGUCUCCUCGAACGCCGGAACCUACGAGGUAAUUUUACAACUGGCUUCCUCCUCCAGAAGCAAAUGCAAAUUACGGAGAUCAGCAUGAAUGCAGCUACUAGAGGACAUGGAGCUGUUGGUUAAGACAUACAUCAUAUUAGUGCAUCUUUGUUGUGUUUCAUAAUUGUUUGUGGCACUUAUGGAAAUCGAGGUCAAUGGUUUGUGGGAAAGAUUUUUUAGUAAUUAUUCUAUAAACCAUAUUGCAAGCUUGCUGACUUGAGUGCCUUGGGUAAGUGGAUGAGGUGCGAAGCAGAAAUAUAGUUUCAAAAAGGGUAGCCGUUUAAGAAGAAUCCGAGUGUUUUUUUUUCUUUGCCCCAAUUUUAGUAAUCAGAAAGUGAUUUUAUGGGAGUGUUAAUUUGGUGUACUCAUGACAGCGUGAACUAUAUUUGAUCAAACAAGAAUAAGCUGGUGCUAGUUGAAAUACCCUUCAAUACUUCAAAGAAAAAGAUGGCUACUCUGGCUGGUUUGUGGAAAUAACACUUGUACGUUACAGCACUUAUCAUAUAGUGCCUAGCUGUGUUGCUAAUAUACAAUUGUUAACUUUAUAUACUGCAGGUAAACAAGGAAAAAGUGAUCUUUACUUUUACUUUAAGUCACCUGACACUUCAAAUUUUAUUCAUGAUCAACCAAGAAUUUAUGUAUUUCUAGAUUAAUCCUUAAUAUGAAGGAGAAUUCUCUAAGGUUUAAUACACAUACACGUAAGAUUCUUAUUCUUGAGAACUUCAGUUUUUUGUGGGCUUGGUUGCUUGUCCUUUUUAUUUCUGCCUUGCAGGGUUAAAUGAUUUCCCAAAACAUGAGGGAUUAAGUGGUUGCUCUCAAGAUUCAGAUGCCAUAACUGAAAUUUAUAUCUAAUGUGUUUUGCUCCCUUCAAUUCAGGGAGGAGACAGAGAUAGGUUGUUGGGUGUAGGCACAUUAAAAAUAGCCCCUUUUCUUUUUGUCCACCCGCUCAUUUCUGUACACAAUUAAUAUCUUCCAUUUCUACUGCGAUGUCACACGAACAUGAAUUCAUGAGAGGAAAAGCAGUUGGAAAAGAAUACCCUGUUUUCACCUAACAUGCUAAUAUUUUAAUCCAGUGCAUAGUGCCAUUUCUUGGCAUUUUAUCAUGUCACUAAAGUAUGCAUGACAAAAUAGCCGGACAAAAAAAAUGAAUGUACUAAGUCCAGUGCAUGGUUUUGCUUUGGGAUUAUUCGGGGCAUCCUCAUGACUGAUGUGGUGAAAUGGCGGUACACUAAAAAAAAA